rnacentral:misc_RNA from 1 species
UCGAACUGCACAUGGUGUGCGAAUUUUAUUAUAAUCGGUUAAGUGGUUUAGGAGUCCAUUGAGGACAAACAUUGUGACACGAGAUUUAUAUGUAUUAAUAUAACGAUAUAUAAAAAAUUCUAAUCGAAAAAACAAUUACUAAAGGAUUUUUGAAAUGGACGAAACCAGUUUCGGUUUUUGAAAUAAUUUUGUGUCUAAGAUAAGCGUAAUAACAUGCGCUACACAAAAAAAAAUGAAACGCUAUUUAAAACAGUACAUCUAUAUUGCACUAUAACAUCUCACAUACCGUUGUACAAAUAAGGUUAUGAAAUUUGAUUUAAAACAUUAAAUACUAUAUUACAUCACACAACAAUAAUCUAUAAAGUGCAUUUAUAGAAACCAAAACAUAAGGAAUUUAGUUUAAAAAGAAACAUAUACUAACACAUAAAAUAGCAGCUUAACCGAUAAAUAUUUUGUCCUUAAACACACUGGCGCAAAUACAAAAAUAUAAUUAUUUAAACGUACACAAAUAUUGUUAUUCUCUUUCAAAAGCAUUUUUUGUUAUAAAAUAAUUGUUUAUCCAAUUGCAAUAAAUUACAUAAAAAAUGACACAUGAUACGUGACAGUUUGAAAAUAAUAAAUAUUUUCAUAUACGUAGUUUAUUGCUUUAUUGUUUUCAUUACAACCAUCAAGAUAAAGGUCACCGACCGAUAAUCACGAUACCAGAAAGUAAUCGUCGCGUGAAAAAGCGACGGGACAUAAUUGACGACUAAUGCUGCCGGCAAACCCAACUGGCCGUAACACAUUAAAGGGCUGAACUUCAAUGGAAAUUAUGGCCUCUAUAAGAUGGACCGACACCGCAACUGCUUGUAGCCAACCAGCCGAUCGCACGAUUAAAAACGAAUGUAAUUCAUACCAUACGGUAGGAUUGUUUUAAUGUAUGUGGAUCCACAGUCAACAUUUUUUAGAAAAACAUCUUCGGUCAUAAAAUAAUACAAGAGUUAACACUCUCAAAUUGUUUCUAUACCAAAAAAUAUUUUACGUGGUUAUAGUCAGAUGAAAUCAUAAAUAAAAUCUAAAUUUUCUACUGCAUCAAAUAAGGUUUUUA